AAUGAGAUAGCUGGGUCAAAUGGUGGUUCCAUUCUAAGUUUUCUGAGGAAUCUCCAUAGUUAUUUCCAGAGUGAUUGCACUAAUUUGCAGUCCCACCAGCAAU
rnacentral:pre_miRNA from 1 species